rnacentral:rRNA from 1 species
GAGAUUUGAUCAUGGCGUCAGUAACGAACGCAUGGCGGGUAUGCUUUACACAUGCAAGUUCGAACGGAUUUAUUUAAAGCUUGCUUUAAAUAAAUUAGUGGCAAACGGGUGAGUAACACGUGGGAAUCUACCCAUCANUACAGAAUAACCUUUGGAAACAAAGGCUAAUACUGUAUAUUCUCGAAAGAGGAAAGAUUUAUCGCUGAUGGAUGAGCCCGCGCCUGAUUANGUAGUUGGUGAGGUAAUGGCUCACCAAGCCAACGAUCAGUANCUGGUCUGAGAGGGUGAUCAGCCACACUGGGACUGAGACACGGCCCAGACUUCUACGGGAGGCAGCANUGGGGAAUAUUGGACAAUGGGCGAAAGCCUGAUCCAGCAAUACCGCGUGAAUGAUGAANGCCUUANGGUUGUAAAGUUCUUUUAGCANGGAAGAUAAUGACGGUACCUGCAGAAAAAGCCCCGGCUAACUCCGUGCCANCAGCCGCGGUAAGACGGAGGGGGCUAGCGUUGUUCGGAAUUACUGGGCGUAAAGAGCGCGUAAGCGGUAUAAUAAGUUGGGAGUGAAAUCCCGGGGCUUAACCUCGGAAUUGCUUCCAAAACUGUUAUACUAGAGUAUAGUAGGGGAUGACGGAAUUCCUAGUGGAUAANUGAAAUGANUANAUAUUAGGAGGAACACCACUGGCGAANGCGGUCAUCUGGGCUAUAACUGACGCUGAGGCGCNAAAGCGUGNGGAGCAAACAGGAUUANAUACCCUGNUAGUCCACGCUGUANACGAUGANUGCNAGAUAUCCCCAAGUUUUUCUUUCGGUUUCGCAGCUAACGCAUUAAGCACUCCGCCUGGGGAGUACGAUCGCAAGAUUAAAACUCAAAGGAAUUGACGGGGGCUCGCACAAGCGGUGGAGCAUGCGGUUUAAUUCGAUGCUACGCGAAAANCCUUACCAACCCUUGACAUGGCGGUCGCGGACCUUGGAGACAGGGUUCUUCAGUUCGGCUGGACCGCACACAGGUGUUGCAUGGCUGUCGUCAGCUCGUGUCGUGAGAUAUUGGGUUAAGUCCCGCAACGAGCGCAACCCUUAUCCUUAUUUGCCAGCGGGUAAUGCCGGGGACUAUAGGGAAACUGCCGGUGAUAAGCCGGAGGAAGGUGGGGAUGAAGUCAAGUCAUCAUGGCCCUUACGGGUUGGGCUACACGCGUGCUACAAUGGUAACUACAGAGGGAAGCAAUACGGUGACGUGGAGCAAAUCCCUAAAAGUUAUCUCAGUUCGGAUUGUUCUCUGCAACUCGAGAACCUGAAGUUGAAAUCGCUAGUAAUCGCGGAUCAGCAUGCCGCGGUGAAUACGUUCUCGGGCCUUGUACACANUNCCCGUCACACCAUGGGAGUUGGUUUUACCCGAAGCUGGUGAGCUAACGUAAGAGGCAGCCAACCACGGUACAAUUAGCGAGCUGGGGUGAAGUCGUAACAAGGUAGC